ACAACUUUCAGCAACGGAUCUCUUGGCUCUCGCAUCGAUGAAGAACGCAGCGAAAUGCGAUAAGUAAUGUGAAUUGCAGAAUUCAGUGAAUCAUCGAAUCUUUGAACGCACCUUGCGCUCUUUGGUAUUCCAAAGAGCAUGCCUGUUUGAGUGUCAUUU
rnacentral:rRNA from 1 species